UGGGAGCGAGCGAAAGUUUGUUUUUCCCGCUGCUGUGUGUGUGGAGAGACAGAAGUGCUACGCUGCUGUAGAGGAUGAAAACUGUGAAAAACGGAGAAACCUGGAGAAAAUACAGCUAAAAACGAACUACACUGAGGCUAACUUCAACACUACAAACGUGGUAGCUAACUGCAGUAAGAAUUUAGUUGUAAGUUCAGUGUUUAGAUAUAGCGCUUGAGAGACUACUAGCAGCGUCGGUAGCUUUGAUGUUCGUAGGAUUUCCCGCGACGCACAGUCUUUGCUGAUUCAAGAGCGAGAAGACCUUGUGGCUUUACUGGGCGCCGCCAUUUUGGGUGUAUGUGUCCAGCCGCUCUGGUGAAAUCGGUCAGGUAUUUUUUUUUUUGUGUGUGCGUGUUUCUUCUUCCAUUGUCUGGAUUGGAUCUGCAGAUGAAAAUUGAGGGCGAGCCGUCCCUCCUGAAUGAUUGUGGGAGCCAUUCCCUCCUCAGGAUCACUGGACCUGUCCCGCUACUACUGCACUUUGCGGUGUGGUAGGCCCCAUUACAACACAAAACCCCUUCACACUCCUUCCCCCACACACAUACAUACACCAACCCUAUGGAACUCUGACUUACCUUCGACACAUCCAUUUUUUGUUUGGACUGUGGACUCACUUAAACAAACUCACCUGUUCACACCUUGGGACUGAGAAUUUGGAGCUGAGUAGUAGGAAUCAUUCCUGCAGUUAAGGGUUACUGUUGUACUAUGUGGAUUCUACUGGAUUGUACUAUUGAACUGGAUCUGAACAAACUUGAAUGUGGUGUUAUUAACAGAAAUUCAGGUUUAAAGGGUGCACCCGGGAAUUUAAUUAUAGAACUACUUCAAAGAGUGAAAUACUCACUUUAAAUUUGGAAAGCAAGCAUUUCAUGCUGAUGUCAUAGCCUGAUUGUGAUAUCAAUAAUCAAUCAAUAAUUUUUGAAGUGUGGCUGUAUGAGGUACUUAUCCAUAGUCAGUGUAUUACCUGCAGUAGAUGGUGGUCGCUCUCUCACAGCCUCACAACAUUACUCCCACCCCAGAUCUGGGGCACACAAUGACUGAGUUCAGCACAGUUAUACAACUUUACAGUUGAUUACAAGUUAGAUGGUGGUCGGCGUGUCCCCAGUUUGGGGACACAGAGCUGUACCGAAGCUAAGCAAUGUACUGCUGUGGACAGGGUCAGCAGAAAAAUGUAUGUUAGCCACCUAAAAAAAGGCCCAAUGGGGGAAAAAAAAUCAAUAUCCGUUCAAGUGCUGCUUAAUAAUUUCAGUGCUUUGCCUUGCCAUCAGACAGCCAUUUCCUUUGAAAGUACAUCUUCUCAUCCGUAGAACUUCAGUAUUCCUACGCAUAAGCACAACUUGCGAACUGUAUUUCACCGCAGGGGAUCCGCUAUUUAUUUAUUUUUUCCAUCGGGCCUUCUUUUGUGGCUUAAAUACAUUUUGCUGUUCUUACCUUACCACUCUAUGACCAGAGUUCUACUCUUAUUGAGAAAAACUUUCAUUGCUGCCACUUCAUAAGUUUUUUUAUUUUCAUUGUGUAUACUGACGCACUACAGGAACAUAAUUUCAUACCCAGUGGAAGGCAAAUAGCAGCCCAUGGUCAAACCCGGCCAGAUGACUAAAUAUUUUCUUCAUUAUAUUUUCUUUUCAUAAUUUGCAUCAAAAUCUUUUCAUAAUCUUACACAAAUGCAGUGUAGGGAACAAUGCAAAUAACAGGCUUGUGUAAAUCCCAAUAAAUAGUAUGACCUUCAGUCAAACACAAAUCAGUAGCAGUCUAGCAGACAUUGUGUUUGUUUUCAACGGCAACAAUAACAGUAGUUUCAUUUAAGCAUAAAUGGAACAGGUCACUUUUUAUUGAGUGUGGAUCUAUGUAAACUUUGGAGAACAGUUAACAAAGUUGGCACGCUGUAUAACUCGUAGUAAAUAGGUGCAUUCGAGAUAGGCCUACUGGCUGACUUUCGCCGACUUGAUAGAUAGGGAAAUAAAAACAGCACCCUCAACCUCAAGUCAGACACAAUCUGCCUCUGGUAGACUGAGCGAGUUUACUGUGAGCUUAGAACAAUGAACAGGCCUUGCUCCCACAAGGUCUAUUGACGUUUUGCAGCGCAGGUGUUGUGCCGAAUUCUGCAUGCCUGCCGUGAAGUGCAUACACCUCGCGGGAGGUAAUGCUCUGUUAUACUGAGAAAAGAGGUGGAUGCAAAUUUCGGCAGGUAGCCUACAAUAUCUGUUUUGCCGAAUUAUGCAUUCACUUAAUAAGGGCCUUUCAGGACACUUUGCUGCUCACAUUGUUUGAACGCGGUUAACGUCACAUGUUUUUGCUGAAUCUCAAGAAAUGGUAGCCUACUUUUACUAAGUGUAAGAAUAUGUUAACGAUUCUUAACGUUGAUAACAUAUAUACUGAUCAUUUAUCCCUAUUGAUGAACCCCACAAAGAAUAGUAUAGCAUUUAAAAGCAGAACUUUAAUGUAUUUUCAUGCAAUUCUCGGCAGGCAUACAAAAUUCGGCAUACCCCUCCCCCGCCACAGUUACGCUUUCAAUCUGUGGGAAACACUGCAUAAACUGCCGUAACUCUGUUAGCACUCACUAGCUAAUGUCUGUCCUCAUAUAUAACCCUAAAACAACACAUUUUAUAAAUUUGUCUGCUGCAUAGCUUGAGUGUAGCACCAUGCUGCUGUUUAUCAGGUAUUAUAUUCCUUGCAGUGAUUGAAAGUAUCUUGUUGGGCCCACGGCCACACAGGAGAGUGAUGCGGAUGGAUCCAACAUUCAUUGCUGCCAUUGUGGGGAUCAGACAACUUUUGUUUCAGUGACAAUGGACACGCUGACCUCCAUUUACUGCAUGUAAUACGUUGACUAGGGCAAUAACAAUACAUAUCCAGAUAUUUAAAAAAAUCUGUAAAUUCAAUGAAAUAUAUUUCUCUUCGUUAUAAAGGUGACCUAUAACACCAUGUCAAAUACCAUGAUAUAGAGUGGGGCACAGCAAGGAAUGUAACUAAUGUUAGCUAAGUUGUGGGUUAGCAAACUUUUGCUACUUGCUGC